rnacentral:tRNA from 1 species
GCUAGAUUAGUGUAGCUGAAGGUGCACGUCACACUUCCAAUGUGAAGGCUUGCGUGGGUUUGAUUCCCACAUCUAGCA